CCGAUCGUCCACGCGUGCGUCGCACCACCCUAUAUAGCCUCCGCCUCGCGUCUCACCCCUCCCAUCACCGGUAUCGAAAUCCAUCCAUCCAUCCAAAGCAGCGGAAGAAGAAGAAAAGGAAAAGAGAAAAAUCCAUCCGGAAGCGCGAGCAAAGGCCAAGGCAGCUUUGCGUGCGAGGCGAGGCGAGGCCGCUCCGAUUCGACAGACGCAGGGCAGGGAUGGACGCCUUCUACUCGACCUCGUCGGCGGCGGCGAGCGGAUGGGGCUACGACUCGCUCAAGAACUUCCGCGAGAUCUCCCCCGCCGUGCAGUCCCACCUCAAGCUCGUUUACCUGACCCUAUGCUUUGCCCUGGCCUCAUCUGCCGUGGGUGCUUACCUGCACAUUGCCCUGAACAUCGGUGGGAUGCUGACAAUGCUUGCGUGUAUUGGAACCAUUGCCUGGAUGUUCUCUGUGCCAGUCUAUGAGGAGAGGAAGAGGUUUGGGCUGCUGAUGGGUGCAGCCCUCCUGGAAGGGGCUUCGGUUGGACCUCUGAUUGAGCUUGCCAUAGACUUUGACCCAAGCAUCCUCGUGACAGGGUUUGUUGGAACCGCCAUCGCCUUUGGGUGCUUCUCUGGCGCCGCCAUCAUCGCCAAGCGCAGGGAGUACCUGUACCUCGGUGGCCUGCUCUCCUCCGGCCUGUCGAUCCUGCUCUGGCUGCAGUUUGCCACGUCCAUCUUUGGCCACUCCUCUGGCAGCUUCAUGUUUGAGGUUUACUUUGGCCUGUUGAUCUUUCUGGGAUACAUGGUGUACGACACGCAGGAGAUCAUCGAGAGGGCGCACCACGGCGACAUGGACUACAUCAAGCACGCGCUCACCCUCUUCACCGACUUUGUCGCCGUCCUUGUCCGGAUCCUCAUCAUCAUGCUCAAGAACGCAGGCGACAAGUCGGAGGACAAGAAGAAGAGGAAGAGGAGGUCCUGAACGUGUUGUCCUCUGCACAUCGUAGAUACCAUCACCGCCGCCGCCGCUACUGGUAGUUGGCUCGACUGGCACAUCCAACUUGCCCUGGACCUGCCGCUGCGUUUCGGCCAGGCAUCUGAUAGUAGAGCUGUAAAACUAGUUUUUCCCCAACGUGGUUGCCGCGUCCGCCAGUUUUAGGGCGUGUUUGGUUGCAGUAGUGAACAAUUUGUUUCGUUGUCUGUAUGCCCUCUUGUCUGCAUGCAUGGGCUAAAUCACACUGCCUGAUAUUUUGUUGUAUGCAUGUUAGUGAACAAACCCAAGACAUGGUGUUUGAUUGUGUGUAA